rnacentral:rRNA from 1 species
CAUUACCGAGUGAGGGUCUUCGGGCCCGACCUCCAACCCUUUUGUGAACCACCUCGUUGCUUCGGGGGCGACCCUGCCGUUCGCGGCGUGGGGCCCCCGGAGCCCUUCAAACCCUGCGUAACUAAGUCGUCGGAGUUUAAACAAAUUAAACAAAACUUUCAACAACGGAUCUCUUGGUUCGGGCAUCGAUGAAGAACGCAGCGAAAUGCGAUAAGUAAUGUGAAUUGCAGAAUUCAGUGAAUCAUCGAAUCUUUGAACGCACAUUGCGCCCCCUGGUAUUCCGGGGGGCAUGCCUGUCCGAGCGUCAUUACACCAAUCGAGCCUGGCUCGGUAUUGGGCGUCGCGGGUUUCGACCCGCGCGCCUUAAAGUCUCACCGGCUGAGCGGCGUCGUCUCUAAGCGUUGUGGAAACUAUUCGCGGAGGGACGGGGCGGCGUGGCCGUUAAAUACCCCAUCAAAGGUUGACCUCGGAUCAGGUAGGGAUACCC